rnacentral:rRNA from 1 species
UGGACGAAAGCCAGGGGACCGAAAGGGAUUAGAUACCCCUGUAGUCCUGGCCGUAAACGAUGAACACUAGGUGUCGGGGGAAUCGACCCCCUCGGUGUCGUAGCCAACGCGUUAAGUGUUCCGCCUGGGGAGUACGCACGCAAGUGUGAAACUCAAAGGAAUUGACGGGGGCCCGCACAAGCGGUGGAGUAUGUGGUUUAAUUCGAUGCAACGCGAAGAACCUUACCAGGGUUUGACAUCCUGCGAAUCUCUUGGAAACGAGAGAGUGCCUUCGGGAGCGCAGUGACAGGUGGUGCAUGGCUGUCGUCAGCUCGUGUCGUGAGAUGUUGGGUUAAGUCCCGCAACGAGCGCAACCCACGUCGUUAGUUGCCAGCAUUUAGUUGGGCACUCUAGCGAGACCGCCGGUGAUAAACCGGAGGAAGGUGUGGAUGACGUCAAGUCAUCAUGCCCCUUACAUCCUGGGCUACACACGUACUACAAUGCUACGGACAAAGGGCAGCAAACUCGCGAGAGCUAGCAAAUCCCAUAAACCGUGGCUCAGUUCAGAUCGUAGGCUGCAACUCGCCUACGUGAAGGAGGAAUCGCUAGUAAUCGCAGGUCAGCAUACUGCGGUGAAUACGUUCCCGGGCCUUGUACACACCGCCCGUCACACCAUGGAAGUUGGCCACGCCCGAAGCCGUUACUCCAAC